CCCCUAGAUGUUCUGGGCCGCACGCGCGCUACACUGAACAGUUCAACAAGUCUUAACCUUGGCCGAUAGGUCUGGGUAAUCUUUGAACGCUGUUCGUGAUUGGGAUAGACCUUUGUAAUUAUGGGUCUUCAACGAGGAAUUCCUAGUAAACGCAAGUCAUCAGCUUGCAUUGAUUACGUCCCUGCCCUUUGUACACACCGCCCGUCGCUCCUACCGAUUGAAUGGUCCGGUGAAAUCUUCGGAUUGCUGGAUAGGACUUCAUUGACCUAUCUGCGAGAAGUUGCUUGAACCUUAUCAUUUAGAGGAAGGAGAAGUCGUAACA
rnacentral:rRNA from 1 species